AGUUCCAUAGUGUAGCAGUGAGCAUAUCUGCUUUACACACAGAAGGUCCUGGGUUUGUGCCCCAGUGGAGCCA
rnacentral:tRNA from 1 species